CAAGACUUUGGAGAAUGAAUUGUUUUUGGCAUCUGGUGAAGGUGCAGGCCUUGCAAAUGUUAAUCCUUUGGAAACAAUUGCUGGAAAAUGUAAUGUCGUUUGCAUUUCAAAGGACAGCAGAAAUCCACAGCCCUCGAACGAAGAACUUGAAAUGGCUGACUUCAUAUUUUACCGUACCUUUGAUGUUGGGCGCCGUGUUAUCUUGGAUAAGAUAGAUGAUAAAAUUGCUGCAAUUGACUUUAAGUUUCUACUUAACAGAGUAAGUAUUCAGAAAUCCAAUGCUGUUCCUGAUUCAAACGAUAAUACCAC
rnacentral:misc_RNA from 1 species